GGGCGCGUAGCUCAGUUGGCUAGAGCGUCUCGGUGACAUCGAGAAGGUCACAGGUUCAAGUCCUGUCGCGCCCACUA
rnacentral:tRNA from 1 species